GACGAACGCUGGCGGCGCGCUUAACACAUGCAAGUCGAGCGAUGAAAUUUCGACAGAUCCCUUCGGGGUGAAGAUGAAAUGGAUUAGCGGCGGACGGGUGAGUAACACGUGAGUAACCUGCCUUUGACAUUGGGAUAGCCUCGGGAAACUGGGAUUAAUACCAAAUGACACUAACUGAUCACAUGAUCAAUUAGUCAAAGAAAUUCGGUCAAAGAUGGACUCGCGGCUGAUUAGCUAGUUGGUGAGGUAACGGCCCACCAAGGCGACGAUCAGUAGCCGGCCUGAGAGGGUGAUCGGCCACAUUGGAACUGAGACACGGUCCAAACUCCUACGGGAGGCAGCAGUGGGGAAUAUCGCACAAUGGGGGAAACCCUGAUGCAGCGACGCCGCGUGAGCGAAGAAGGCCUUCGGGUCGUAAAGCUCUUUUAUGAGGGAAGAUAAUGACGGUACCUCAAGAAAAAGCCCCGGCUAACUACGU
rnacentral:rRNA from 1 species